UGGAAUGACACGCUAUGUAAAAGUUUCCUACCAGGUUUUCUCUACUUCCUUGUUAGCAAUCAGCCUGUUGGGAACAUUG
ensembl:snoRNA